rnacentral:rRNA from 1 species
CGCAAGCCUGACGGAGCAAGACCGCGUGCGGGAUGACGGCCUAAUGGUUGUAAACCGCUUUUCUCUGGGAAGAAUGAUGACGGUACCAGAGGAAUCAGCCUCGGCUAACUCCGUGCCAGCAGCCGCGGUAAUACGGAGGAGGCAAGCGUUAUCCGGAAUUAUUGGGCGUAAAGCGUCCGUAGGUGGUGAAUCAAGUCUGCUGUCAAAGCGUGGGGCUUAACUCCAUAGAGGCAGUGGAAACUGGUUGACUAGGGUGCGGUAGGGGUCGAGGGAAUUCCCAGUGUAGCGGUGAAAUGCGUAGAUAUUGGGAAGAACACCAGUGGCGAAAGCGCUCGACUGGACCUGCACUGACACUGAGGGACGAAAGCUAGGGGAGCG